AGAGUUUGAUCCUGGCUCAGGACGAACGCUGGCGGCGUGCUUAACACAUGCAAGUCAAGGGGGCCCAGCAAUGGGCAACCGGCGAACGGGUGCGUAACACGUGAGCAACCUACCGAACUGUGGGGGAUAGCCGGCCUAACGGCCGAGUAAUACCGCAUACGCUUUCAGUGAGACAUUUCAUUGAAAGGAAACCUACGGGACAGAUCGAGGGGCUCGCGGCCUAUCAGCUAGUUGGCGAGGUAAUGGCUCACCAAGGCUACGACGGGUAGCUGGUCUGAGAGGAUGGCCAGCCACAUUGGGACUGAGAUACGGCCCAGACUCCUACGGGAGGCAGCAGUGGGGAAUCUUGCGCAAUGGCCUAACGGCUGACGCAGCGACGCCGCGUGUGGGAUGAAGCUCCUCGGAGUGUAAACCACUGUUGCCCGGGACGAAUAGCUCGAUUAAUCGAGCCUGACGGUACCGGGUGAGGAAGCACCGGCUAACUCCGUGCCAGCAGCCGCGGUAAUAC
rnacentral:rRNA from 1 species